rnacentral:rRNA from 1 species
UUCGCAAUGCCCGAAAGGGUGACGAAGCGACGCCGCGUGUGGGAAGAAGGCCUUCGGGUUGUAAACCACUGUCGGGAGUUAAGAAAUGUAAGGGUGUUAAUAGUAUCCUUACUUGACUAAGGCUCCGGAGGAAGCCACGGCUAACUCUGUGCCAGCAGCCGCGGUAAUACAGAGGCGGCAAGCGUUGUUCGGAAUUAUUGGGCGUAAAGAGCACGUAGGCGGCCUUGCAAGUCAGUUGUGAAAGCCUUCUGCUUAACGGAAGAACAGCAGCUGAUACUGCAAGGCUAGAGUGCGGAAGGGGAGAGUGGAACUUCUGGUGGAGCGGUGAAAUGCGUAGAUAUCAGAAGGAACACCGGCGGCGAAGGCGACUCUCUGGUCCGUAACUGACGCUGAGUGUGCGAAAGCUAGGGGAGCAAACGGGAUUAGAUACCCCGGUAGUCCUAGCUGUAAACGAUGGGCACUAAGUAGAGGGGUUUU